rnacentral:rRNA from 1 species
GUGCCAGCCGCCGCGGUAAUACGGAGGGUGCGAGCGUUAAUCGGAAUUACUGGGCGUAAAGCGUACGUAGGCGGCCUGUUAAGCAAGAUGUGAAAUCCCCGGGCUCAACCUGGGAAUGGCAUUUUGAACUGGCAGGCUCGAGUUCUGAAGAGGGUGGUAGAAUUUCCUGUGUAGCGGUGAAAUGCGUAGAUAUAGGAAGGAAUACCGGUGGCGAAGGCGGCCACCUGGUCAGAAACUGACGCUGAGGUACGAAAGCGUGGGGAGCAAACAGGAUUAGAAACCCGUGUAGUCC